AGUAAUUGCCCUUAGGGACCUGGCCAUCCUGGUCUGGCACUCACAGGACACGUUGAGCUGGACGGUCCUCUCCGUGCUCACACCAGCUCCAGGGAAUGUCACUUGACAGCAGAGGGAGCAACAGCAGCAGCGGCAUCUUUGAGGACGAGCCACAGGACCUCGGUGUCACAGGACUAGGAGGAAGCCCCAGCAGGAAGCCCAGACUGAGGUCAGAAAGGUGACUGACUGCAGAAGAGGAACUUGAAACCCACAUGCUUUGGAGCUGGUGUGGUCCUUGGAGAAUUACAACUCCUACUUUCCAGGUUGUGAUGAUGAGCUGCUGUUUGACUUUCCCAUCUCAACCCAGAGUCUGCCUCUUGAGCUCGGCUCUCAAGGACAGAAGCAGAUGAAGGUCCAGCGGGAGGACAUUUCAGCAGGAGGGACCUCAGGAUGCAAGGUCUGAGGUCUGAUGCUAGUCCUCUCCUGAGUCAGGAGAGAUCCCCAGCAGAUCCCUCUGUCCAAAUCACAGGGAUCCAGCAUGUGUUCUGCAUCCACUUUGUGGCAGGUGCUCUGAUAGGACUUUACUCCCAGAAUUCUCACUACAGACUUCCAGGUAGAGCUUCUCAUGCGUGUUUCACAGAACAAGAAACCGAGACACAGAGAGAGGGUUGGUCUGUCACUUACUUAGUAAAGGUGGAGAGUGUGGAUUCUAAUUCAAAACUCUUUAGUUCCAAAGGCUCUGCUAUUUACACCAUUUAGCGGGCAUUUAAAUCUGCAGGCAUCAGUCUGUGAUUUUUUUCUUUGCCUCAAGGACCGUGGUCUCUGAAGCCAGGGCAGGGGCUCUGCAACUGCUCACUUGUGGAUCUUGAUCUCGGAGUACUCACCACCAGUGGCCUCCUGUUCCUGCGGGUCCUGAGGCUUCAUCCCAAGAAAGCUGAGAAGAUGCGUGCAAACUCAGAAUCCAUCCAGACGAUGGAAUACUGCACAGUCGUGGGGAAGAAUGAGGACAACUGGGCUACUGAUAUCAAAGGACAACUUAGAUCCUUUAUGUGAACAAACCAAGGCUCAGAGCAGCGUAUGGACACUGAUCUCUUCCCUAUAGGGGACUGGGCAUCAGAAGGACAGACUCUGCUGUACGUUAUGAAUUUUGGACCGUGUGAAUAUAUUACCUAUUCAAAGGUACUUAAGUAAGCAAUUGUUGGAGAAAAUAAAAAGACAAGGCUGGAACAGUCACCAAAAGACUGAUGAUUAGGGGUCUCCAGAGGUGGGAUCUGCCAUGUGAAUUGCCCUUUUUCCCUUGUGGAGCUGAGGGGAUUGGAGAAGGCUGAGGGCAGUGAGGGGCCGAUGGGGACAGCUUCUCAGAGGCCAUGGGGGCUAAGGAUGGGAGGGACCACUGGGUUCACCCACAAGCCGGUCACUGGGGUGAAUCCAGGGUGAGGCAGGGACCUGGCCUUGCCCUGAGCUGGAAGAGGUCCUGCUC